rnacentral:lncRNA from 1 species
GUACAGCUGAGAGUCAACAUGUAUAAACCUGUCAUGAUUAUCACUGUCCUACUGCUGUGUCUCACAGGUCUCUUUCUCUGUGUUGAGGUUCACCAGACUCCCUCUGGAGUCAUCAGCAGACCUGGAGAGAAUGUCCAACUCUUCUGCCACCAUCAGAAAACAGACUACAGGGUCAUGCUGUGGUACCAGAAAUCACCAGGAGAAACAGCACUGAAUCUCAUAGGAUAUUUAAAUUAUAAGACAUCAGAGAGUGAAAAGCCAUAUGAUAAACGUUUUAAAAUUAGUGGGGACUUGGGUGGAGAACAGGCAAAGAAUGCAUCUCUGAACAUUUCUAACUUCACAUCUGAAGACACAGCUGUGUAUUUCUGUGCUGCUAGAUACGCACAGUGUUUCACUACACCCUCUCUGCUCUACAAAAACUUCUCAUUCACUCUCAGUAGAUGUAUACUGUAGCAACACCUCCAUCACAGCUGUAUCCAGGUGGUUCAGGUGAGAUGUCAGUUGGUUUUCGAUGUUCAUCUUUUGGAGGAGACUCACCAUGAUCAGACCUGUCUUCAUUAUCACUGUACCACUAUUCUGGAUCACAGGUGUGUCUCUCAGUAAUGAAGGGUACCAGUCUCCUUCUAAGAUCCUGGUAAAGCCUGAUGGUUUUUCCACACUCAACUGCAGUCACAAAAUAUCCAACUAUGACACCAUCCUCUGGUACCAUCGUUCAGUGGGAGACAUGGCUCUCAAACUCAUAGGAUACUCUUUUUAUAAAGACCCUAAAGUUGAACCCUCAUAUCAACCCUCAUAUCAAAUAUAUUUUAACAUGUCAGGCGAUGGAAGGAGUGAGGCCUUCCUUCAUCUUUUCAACCUGAGACUGACAGAAGACAGUGGGGAGUAUUUCUGCGCUGCUAGUCAACACAGUGGUUCACAGUCCCAGUCCACUGUACAAAAACCCUAUCAGAUCCAGCACACUCUGUUCCGUGUGCUGGAGCUUGUCCGGCUG